rnacentral:ncRNA from 1 species
CAACCUCAACUCAUAUGGGACUACCCCCUGAAUUUAAGCAUAUUAAUUAGGGGAGGAAAAGAAACUAACAAGGAUUUUCUUAGUAGCGGCGAGCGAAAAGAAAUCAGUUCAGCACUAAGUCACUUUGUCUAUAUGGCAAAUGUGAGAUGCAGUGUACGGAACAUCAACAUUCUAGAAUGAGAAGUUAACGAUUUAAGUCCUUCUUAAAUGAGGCCAUUUACCCAUAGAGGGUGCCAGGCCCGUAUAACGUUAAUGAUUACUAGAUGGUGUUUCCAAAGAGUCGUGUUGCUUGAUAGUGCAGCACUAAGUGGGUGGUAAACUCCAUCUAAAACUAAAUAUAACCAUGAGACCGAUAGUAAACAAGUACCGUGAGGGAAAGUUGAAAAGAACUCUGAAUAGAGAGUUAAAUAGUACGUGAAACUGCUUAGAGGUUAAGCCCGAUGAACCUGAUAUCCGUUAUGGAAAAUUCAUCAUUAGAAUUGUAUAUUUUAAACAAUAUUAUAAUAAUAGUGUGCAUUUUUCCAUAUAAGGACAUUGUUAUCUAUUAGCAUAAAUAUUUAUCAUAAAAUUAUGUCUGAAUGCUUAUUUGAAUUAUAUGCUUGGCAUUUUAACAAAAAAAAAAAAAAAUAAAAUUUAAAAAAAUGGUGAAAAAAUUUAUAUUAAUUACAAGGCCUUUAAUUUUUUCGGAAAUUUUAAUAA